UACAAUAUUUCGACUCUUCGUCUUACUUAAAAUUUUUUUAGAUUAAUAUUUUUAUUGUUCCUAGAUGAUAAAACAUAAAUAUUACUUUAUACGUAACUAAUUUUUUAAAAUUUUUUAUAAAUUUUUUAAAUAAGACGAAUGGUCAAACGUUGGACACGGAAA
rnacentral:pre_miRNA from 1 species